UACGUAGGUGGCGAGCGUUAUCCGGAAUUAUUGGGCGUAAAGAGCGCGCAGGUGGUUGGUUAAGUCUGAUGUGAAAGCCCACGGCUUAACCGUGGAGGGUCAUUGGAAACUGGUCGACUUGAGUGCAGAAGAGGGAAGUGGAAUUCCAUGUGUAGCGGUGAAAUGCGUAGAGAUAUGGAGGAACACCAGUGGCGAAGGCGGUUUCCUGGUCUGUAACCGACACUGAGGCGCGAAAGCGUGGGGAGCAAACAGGAUUAGAUACCCUGGUAGU
rnacentral:rRNA from 1 species